rnacentral:rRNA from 1 species
CGGUGGCGGCAGGCCUAACACAUGCAAGUCGAGCGGUAGAGAGAAGCUUGCUUCUCUUGAGAGCGGCGGACGGGUGAGUAAUGCCUAGGAAUCUGCCUGGUAGUGGGGGAUAACGUUCGGAAACGGACGCUAAUACCGCAUACGUCCUACGGGAGAAAGCAGGGGACCUUCGGGCCUUGCGCUAUCAGAUGAGCCUAGGUCGGAUUAGCUAGUUGGUGAGGUAAUGGCUCACCAAGGCGACGAUCCGUAACUGGUCUGAGAGGAUGAUCAGUCACACUGGAACUGAGACACGGUCCAGACUCCUACGGGAGGCAGCAGUGGGGAAUAUUGGACAAUGGGCGAAAGCCUGAUCCAGCCAUGCCGCGUGUGUGAAGAAGGUCUUCGGAUUGUAAAGCACUUUAAGUUGGGAGGAAGGGUUGUAGAUUAAUACUCUGCAAUUUUGACGUUACCGACAGAAUAAGCACCGGCUAACUCUGUGCCAGCAGCCGCGGUAAUACAGAGGGUGCAAGCGUUAAUCGGAAUUACUGGGCGUAAAGCGCGCGUAGGUGGUUUGUUAAGUUGGAUGUGAAAUCCCCGGGCUCAACCUGGGAACUGCAUUCAAAACUGACUGACUAGAGUAUGGUAGAGGGUGGUGGAAUUUCCUGUGUAGCGGUGAAAUGCGUAGAUAUAGGAAGGAACACCAGUGGCGAAGGCGACCACCUGGACUAAUACUGACACUGAGGUGCGAAAGC